UACGGAGGGUGCAAGCGUUAUCCGGAUUUACUGGGUUUAAAGGGUGCGCAGGCGGAUCUGUAAGUCAGUGGUGAAAGCUCCGGGCUCAACCCGGAAACUGCCAUUGAUACUGCAGAUCUUGAGUAUAGUUGAGGUGGGCGGAAGAAGUCAUGUAGCGGUGAAAUGCUUAGAUAUGACUUAGAACACCGAUUGCGAAGGCAGCUCACUAAGCUAUUACUGACGCUCAGGCACGAAAGCGUGGGUAGCGAACAGG
rnacentral:rRNA from 1 species